rnacentral:rRNA from 1 species
UACGAAGGGGGCUAGCGUUGCUCGGAUCACUGGGCGUAAAGGGUGCGUAGGCGGGUCUUUAAGUCAGGGGUGAAAUCCUGGAGCUCAACUCCAGAACUGCCUUUGAUACUGGCGACCUUGAGUCCGGGAGAGGUGAGUGGAACUGUGAGUGUAGAGGUGAAAUUCGUAGAUAUUCGCAAGAACACCAGUGGCGAAGGCGGCUCACUGGCCCGGUACUGACGCUGAGGUGCGAAAGCGUGGGAGCAAACAGG